rnacentral:rRNA from 1 species
AACGAACGCUGGCGGCAUGCCUAACACAUGCAAGUCGAACGAGACCUUCGGGUCUAGUGGCGCACGGGUGCGUAACGCGUGGGAACCUGCCCUUAGGUUCGGAAUAACUCCCCGAAAGGGGUGCUAAUACCGGAUAAUGUCUUCGGACCAAAGAUUUAUCGCCUUUGGAUGGGCCCGCGUUGGAUUAGCUAGUUGGUAGGGUAAAAGCCUACCAAGGCGACGAUCCAUAGCUGGUCUGAGAGGAUGAUCAGCCACACUGGGACUGAGACACGGCCCAGACCCCUAGGGGGGGAAGCAGGGGGGAAUAUUGGAAAAGGGGCGAAAGCCUGAUCCAGCAAUGCCGGGGGAGUGAGGAAGGCCUUAGGGUUGAAAAGCUCUUUUACCCGGGAUGAUAAGGACAGUACCGGGAGAAAAAGCCCCGGCUAACUCCGU